rnacentral:rRNA from 1 species
UGACGAGUGGCGGACGGGUGAGUAAUGUCUGGGAAACUGCCUGAUGGAGGGGGAUAACUACUGGAAACGGUGGCUAAUACCGCAUAACGUCGCAAGACCAAAGAGGGGGACCUUCGGGCCUCUUGCCAUCAGAUGUGCCCAGAUGGGAUUAGCUAGUUGGUGAGGUAACGGCUCACCAAGGCGACGAUCCCUAGCUGGUCUGAGAGGAUGACCAGCCACACUGGAACUGAGACACGGUCCAGACUCCUACGGGAGGCAGCAGUGGGGAAUAUUGCACAAUGGGCGCAAGCCUGAUGCAGCCAUGCCGCGUGUAUGAAGAAGGCCUUCGGGUUGUAAAGUACUUUCAGCGGGGAGGAAGGUGUUGUGGUUAAUAACCGCAGCAAUUGACGUUACCCGCAGAAGAAGCACCGGCUAACUCCGUGCCAGCAGCCGCGGUAAUACGGAGGGUGCAAGCGUUAAUCGGAAUUACUGGGCGUAAAGCGCACGCAGGCGGUCUGUCAAGUCGGAUGUGAAAUCCCCGGGCUCAACCUGGGAACUGCAUUCGAAACUGGCAGGCUUGAGUCUUGUAGAGGGGGGUAGAAUUCCAGGUGUAGCGGUGAAAUGCGUAGAGAUCUGGAGGAAUACCGGUGGCGAAGGCGGCCCCCUGGACAAAGACUGACGCUCAGGUGCGAAAGCGUGGGGAGCAAACAGGAUUAGAUACCCUGGUAGUCCACGCCGUAAACGAUGUCUACUUGGAGGUUGUGCCCUUGAGGCGUGGCUUCCGGAGCUAACGCGUUAAGUAGACCGCCUGGGGAGUACGGCCGCAAGGUUAAAACUCAAAUGAAUUGACGGGGGCCCGCACAAGCGGUGGAGCAUGUGGUUUAAUUCGAUGCAACGCGAAGAACCUUACCUGGUCUUGACAUCCACGGAAGUUUUCAGAGAUGGAAUGGUGCCUUCGGGAACCGUGAGACAGGUGCUGCAUGGCUGUCGUCAGCUCGUGUUGUGAAAUGUUGGGUUAAGUCCCGCAACGAGCGCAACCCUUAUCCUUUGUUGCCAGCGAUUAGGUCGGGAACUCAAAGGAGACUGCCAGUGAUAAACUGGAGGAAGGUGGGGAUGACGUCAAGUCAUCAUGGCCCUUACGACCAGGGCUACACACGUGCUACAAUGGCGCAUACAAAGAGAAGCGACCUCGCGAGAGCAAGCGGACCUCAUAAAGUGCGUCGUAGUCCGGAUUGGAGUCUGCAACUCGACUCCAUGAAGUCGGAAUCGCUAGUAAUCGUGGAUCAGAAUGCCACGGUGAAUACGUUCCCGGGCCUUGUACACACCGCCCGUCACACCAUGGGAGUGGGUUGCAAAAGAAGUAGGUAGCUUAACCUUCGGGAGGGCGCUUACCACUUUGUGAUUCAUGACUGGGGUGAAGUCGUAACAAGGUAACCGUAGGGGAACCUGCGGUUGGAUCACCUCCUUACCUUAAAGAA